CACGCAGGCGGUUGGUCAAGUUCGGCGUGAAAGCUCCCGGCUCAACUGGGAGAGGUCGUUGAAAACUGAUCGGCUUGAGGCGAUGAGAGGGGUACGGAAUUCCCGGUGUAGUGGUGGAAUGCGUAGAUAUCGGGAGGAACACCAGUGGCGAAAGCGGUACCCUGGCAUUUGCCUGACGCUCAUGUGCGAAAGCGUGGGGAGCGAACG
rnacentral:rRNA from 1 species